CUGUAAUUGGAAUGAGUACACUUUAAAUCCUUUAACAAGGACCUAUUGGAGGGCAAGUCUGGUGCCAGCAGCCGCGGUAACUCCAGCUCCAAUAGCGUAUAUUAAAGUUGUUGCGGUUAAAACGUUCGUAGUUGAACUUGUGCUUCAUACGGGUAGUACAACUAUAAUUGUAGUUUGUACUGUACCUUAUGUAUGUAAGCGUAUUACCGGUGGAGUUCUUAUGUGUAAAUACUUUAUUUUCCUCCUAUUUAAACCUGCUUCAGUGCUCUUCAUCGAGUGUUGUUGUGGGCCGGUACAAUUACUUUGAACAAAUUAGAGUGCUUAAAGCAGGCUCCAAAUGCCUGAAUAUUUUGUGCAUGGAAUAAUGAAAUAAGACCCCUGUUCUACUUUCAUUGGUUUUUAGAUCAAGAGGUAAUGAUUAAUAGAAGCAGUUUGGGGGCAUUAGUAUUACGACGCGAGAGGUGAAAUUCUUGGACCGUCGUAAGACUAACUUAAGCGAAAGCAUUUGCCAAAGAUGUUUUCAUUAAUCAAGAACGAAAGUUAGAGGUUCGAAGGCGAUCAGAUACCGCCCUAGUUCUAACCAUAAACGAUGCCAGCUAGCAAUUGGGUGUAGCUACUAUCAUGGCUCUCUCAGUCGCUUCCCGGGAAACCAAAGCUUUUGGGCUCCGGGGGAAGUAUGGUUGCAAAGCUGAAACUUAAAGGAAUUGACGGAAGGGCACCACCAGGAGUGGA
rnacentral:rRNA from 1 species